rnacentral:rRNA from 1 species
CUACCGGGGUUUCUAAUCCUGUUUGCUCCCCACGCUUUCGCACCUCAGCGUCAGUGUUGGUCCAGGAAGCCGCCUUCGCCACUGAUGUUCCUCCGGAUCUCUACGCAUUUCACCGCUACACCCGGAAUUCCGCUUCCCUCUACCACACUCCAGUCAGACAGUAUCGAAUGCAAUUCCCAGGUUAAGCCCGGGGCUUUCACAUCCGACUUAUCAAACCGCCUACGCGCGCUUUACGCCCAGUAAUUCCGAUUAACGCUUGCACCCUCUGUAUUACCGCGGCUGCUGGCAC